AACUGAAACAUCUCAGUACCCGGAGGAAAAGACAUCAACAGAGAUUCACGUAGUAGUGGCGAGCGAACCGGGACCAGGCCAGUGCCUUCAUUUCAACUAGCAAAACACUUUGGAAAGAGUGGCCAUAGCGGGUGACAGCCCCGUAUGCGAAAGUGAUGAUGAAGGACUCGAGUAGGGCGGGACACGUGAAAUCCUGUCUGAACAUGGGGGGACCACCCUCCAAGCCUAAAUACUCGCACAUGACCGAUAGCGAACACAGUACCGUGAGGGAAAGGUGAAAAGCACCCCGAUUAGGGGAGUGAAACAGUACCUGAAACCGGAUGCUUACAAGCAGUUGGAGCCCCAUAGGGGGUGACAGCGUACCUCUUGCAUAAUGGGUCAGUGACUUAAUCUACCAUGCAAGCUUAAGCCGUUAGGUGUAGGCGCAGCGAAAGCGAGUCUGAAUAGGGCGACUGAGUAUGAUGGAUUAGACCCGAACCCCGGCGAUCUAGGCAUGGCCAGGUUGAAGGUGCGGUAACACGCACUGGAGGACCGAACCGGUGAAUGUUGAAAAAUUCUCGGAUGAGCUGUGUUUAGGGGUGAAAGGCCAAUCAAGCCGGGAAAUAGCUGGUUCUCCGCGAAAUCUAUUGAGGUAGAGCGUCGGAUGUAUGCCGAUGGGGGUAGAGCACUGGAUGGGCUAGGGCUGCGCGAGCGGUACCAAACCUAACCAAACUCCGAAUACCAUCGAGUCUUAUCCGGCAGACAGACGGCGGGUGCUAAGGUCCGUUGUCAAAAGGGAAACAGCCCUAACCUACAGCUAAGGUCCCCAAGUCAUAUCUAAGUGGGAAAGCAUGUGGGAAUCCCAAAACAACCAGGAGGUUGGCUUAGAAGCAGCCAUCCUUUAAAGAAAGCGUAACAGCUCACUGGUCUAAACAAGGGUUCCUGCGGCGAAGAUGUAACGGGGCUAAAGAUAUGCACCGAAGCUUAGGGUUCAGACAUUAGUCUGAGCGGUA
rnacentral:rRNA from 1 species